GUAUUUUUCAUCUGUCAAAACACUUAGACAUGCUGCUCCACCUUAGGAUGUUUCAUUGUUGGAGUUGUUUUUUUGUAAAAUGGUUAGAUUAUAUGUAAUUGAAAGUGAGUGAAAAUUUGAAUGGUUUAUGUAAUAUGGUAUGGAAUCAAAUUACAGGAAAUUUGGGAAAUAUGAGAUUGAAUGGACAAAGAGCUCCAUGAAUUUGAAUGGUUUAUGUAAUAUGUGUGAAAUUGUUUUUAACUUUGGAAUUGAGCAGUGGUUUUGAACAUGUGAAUUGAAAUGGUUUAUGUAAUAGGAUCCCACAUGUAACUGUGACUUGGGAUUAUGUAAUGAAUGUUCAUUGAAUUGUAUUGAAUGGAAUUGGAUAUAUUGAAUGAA